UAGAGGAAGUAAAAGUCAUAACAAGGUUUCUGUAGGUGAACCUGCAGAAGGAUCAUUAGUGAAUUAUUAGGGCUCGUCCACUCUGUGGAUGCCCGAACCCCUCACCAAUUUCCACAUACACCUGUGCAUUGUCGGUUUGGAUCAUUUAUUUGGUCUGGCCGACGCCCAAUUAUACAAACUCUGAGAUAAAUGAAUGUGAAGUUAUACUUGUCAUUAUUGACAGAAUUAAACAUAACUUUCGACAACGGAUCUCUUGGUUCUCCCAUCGAUGAAGAACGCAGCGAAACGCGAUAGGUAAUGUGAAUUGCAGAAUUCAGUGAAUCAUCGAAUCUUUGAACGCACCUUGCGCUCCUUGGUAUUCCUCGGAGCAUGCCUGUUUGAGUGUCAUGAAUUCCUCAAACCCCAAUGUUUUGUAAUGAAGCGUUGUUUGGGUUUGGUAUUUGGACCGCCCUUGCUGUAGGCCCUUAUUAGGCUGACGCAGCUGGUCUUAAAGAUAUUAGCUGGACUUUCCAUUUCCACAAUGGUAGCCGCCGCUUGAUGUGAUAAGUAUUACGUCGGUGGUAUUCAAGGCUUACUAGAAAUAGGAACGAAAGUUUGCUUCUAAUCCGGCGAAAAGUCUUAGCACUUUGACCCACUUUCAUUAUAACUCUGGCCUCAAAUCAGGUAGGACUACCCGCUGAACUUAAGCAUAUCAAUAAGCGGAGGAAA
rnacentral:rRNA from 1 species